CUGGCAAGCAGUGUUGAAUGCAUCAUGGGGCUAGAUGUCACUGGGAGGGCAGGCACACCUGGAGUCAACGUUGGCCUUGUGGGGGAUGAGCAUAGGGGCCACGGGCCUGAGGCGAAGCACCUCUCGGAUGGUGGCCUCCAGCAGGAGGAGACGGUUACGGUCACUGAUAGUUGGUGUGCGGCUGAAACCCACAUUCUGGUCAAUCUCCUCGUAGAGCUUCUUCUUCACCUGAAGACCAGAGUAGGUUGGAGGUGACUAGUGUGUGUAAGCCCAGGAGAAGCAAGGGCUUAGAGAAGAAUCCAACUGUGACAUCGAGAAGAGCCUGUCCAGUCCCUUCCCAGUAGUGGCUCUGGGGCCCAGGCCCGGCUUCCAGAAGAUGGGGCAGCUCUACUCUGGGGUCAAAGCCAACUACUGCUUGGCUGCCAGAGUCUCUCCUGGAGGCGGAUCUUAGCUUUCUGUCUCUGGAAGUUCCUACUCCACCCCUGACCUUCAGCCAGAAUGGAAGGCAAGAUGGGGACACAGAACGGGUUUAUCAUGACGACGAAGACAAUUCUAAACAAGGGAGGAGGGCGUGGUCUCCACCUCUCCUUCCCCAUUCAAUCAAACAUCAAGCGCUGACUCUGCUAUGUGUCCAGCCCUUAGGAGUGAGAGAGACAUGAGCCUGAAGGCUCAGACAAGCUCCUUAACCCCGCUAAGCCUGCUUCUCACCUGCACAAUGGGGAUAAUAAAACCUACUUCCAAG
rnacentral:lncRNA from 1 species